UGACAGUACUCCUACGGGGAGGCAGCAGUGGGGGGAAUAUUGCACAAUGGGCGCAAGCCUGAUGCAGCCAUGCCGCGUGUGUGAAGAAGGCCUUCGGGUUGUAAAGCACUUUCAGUCGUGAGGAAGGUAGUGUAGUUAAUAGCUGCAGUAUUUGACGUUAGCGACAGAAGAAGCACCGGCUAACUCCGUGCCAGCAGCCGCGGUAAUACGGAGGGUGCGAGCGUUAAUCGGAAUUACUGGGCGUAAAGCGCAUGCAGGUGGUUUGUUAAGUCAGAUGUGAAAGCCCGGGGCUCAACCUCGGAAUAGCAUUUGAAACUGGCAGACUAGAGUACUGUAGAGGGGGGUAGGAAUUUCAGGUGUAGCGGUGAAAUGCGUAGAGAUCUGAAGGAAUACCGGUGGCGAAGGCGGCCCCCUGGACAGAUACUGACACUCAGAUGCGAAAGCGUGGGGAGCAAACAGGAUUAGAUACCCUGGUAG
rnacentral:rRNA from 1 species